UAUAAAAAGCUGUGAAGUCAACAAAAUAGUUAACAGUAUUCCAACAUAUUUCGUUGCGAAAAACAGUUCUUUUAUAGAGAAAAAUAUGCAAAUAAUUAAAUUAUUCCUUGUAGUCGCUUGUAUUGUAGCCAGUGCUAUGGCUGCUCCGGAUAACUAUAAUGCUCAAGGUGUUUCGAACUCCGGUUACUUUAACCAAGGCGGAAAGUAAUAUAAAUUAAUCAAAUGAGACUUUAAUAAAAAUUGUAUUGAAUGAAA